ACCAACAAAAGCCUCUGAUCUUUUCUCAUCUCCUUCAACACUUCUUUCAUUAUUCUCUUUUGUUUGACACUGUUGCGCGUUGUCAUGCCCACGUAUUUUACCCUCCAGUCAUUGGCUUAUGACCCUUACUAUCUAUUACUAUAAAGAACAGUUUAAUCUCUCCAUAGAGCUCCACAUAGGAAUCCACGUAGAUAAUUCGCCUCUCCAGAAGCUGACAUGUGUCCACCUACGCCAAACGCACCGUAUCAUUUAUUCCUCACCGUCGUGGGCGUUUGCGUGUUCUGAGUUUGGGCUGUGAAAUUUAAAACUGUUUCUGGCCCGAAAGAAUAUAUCUCACCUCCAAACCCUAAUCAGCUGUGGUCGUCUUUCAUCAUCCUGUGACGGCGACUCAAUGCCGUUUGCUCUUCUUCUCACCAACUCAAACGUUCCGAGUAAAGGUUUCGUUAUUAAUCCCAUUUAUUCGCUCCCCCACCACUAUAUAAGCUACGUAUUUCUCCGUCUCGAAUCAGGGAGCUGCAGAUCAAUUCCGGCGGAACCCAAAGAGACGGUCAAUGGUCUUGGUGAAGAUAAAACAGUGAUGAUCAAUCUGAGGCAAGAGUAAAAAAAACCGAUAUCUUUGGAGAGUCUGUUUAUGGUAGUGGCUGAUGAUCUACAGUCUGAACGACAAACUUCUCUUGAUUGUUGGUGCAGAAAACCCGGUUCUGAUAUCUGGGCUAAGCAAAUAGUCAGUGCUGGUGGUUAACUACUUCCCUUCAAGGUAUGACCCAGUUCGCCAUGCAGAGAAUUAUCCAACUCCACCUGCAGUCUGCUAUGUAAAACGUGGAGGGCCAUGUAUUAUUGAGAAAGAGAACAACUUCAAGGAGCCUAGAGAUUGCAAUUGUUCCUUCACACCAGAGAAGCAAGAACGUCGGUCGAUGGAUUGAUGCUCUGUCACCCCCUCCCAUCACACAUGAAAUCUGCAGCAUCUGGAUAUCUUGCUGGUCCCAGGCUGAUAAGUCACUGGGACAGAAGCUGGCAAGCCGUCUGAACGUGAGACCAAGCAUCUAAAACGAGUGAACAAGAUUCUCGAUUGGUCGUUCUGUGGUUCCAACAGACGAGAGAAAAAAGAUGGGAAGAUAUCAGAUGUGCCAUGGAUAUAAUCUUCAUCAUGUGUAUCCUGUGUGUUGUGUAGUAAUAUUUUUUGUUGACCAAAACAAUAAAACUUCUGUUGUGUUGUGACCUUAGUCUUAUCUAUUUUUAUGAGUUCAUUUACAA